CCCAGGUAAUCCCCAAAUCCUGGACUGGUAGGGGGUCCUGAGGACUGGGUUGAGAACCCCUGAUCUUGAAGAAAAAAUAGUGGUAAAUUGGCGCUAAUAUUGGUGUAGGAUAGUGCUGCUAAAAACCACUGUGAAAUCAACCACUUAAUUCCACACAAUACAUACAAUGAAACAAGGCAAAAAAUUGAGGUUUAGCGUGCUAUAUAGUAAAUACAAGAGAUAUGUGCACAGUGUACAAAAAAGUGCAGUAGUUCGAAUUUAUACAUACACUUUAAGUAGACUUUAUCCAGAGGAAAUUCUGUAAGACAAAAUAGCUCACAUAGGGCAAUAUAGUCUAUGUGGUGACCACACUGUGACUAAGAUAUUAUUACAGAAGUUGCAUCCUACUCACAUUUUCAUGAGCCUGUAUAGUAAACUGGCUCAACUAAAUAAGCAUAGGUAGGAUGUAAAGGUGUACUUCCUCAGCUUAUAUAAAAGCACUGCAAACAAGGAAUCUUCCUAGAUAAAACACAACGCGUUUUGGCUGGACGCCUUCAUCAGGUGUAUAUUGGUAGAGUCCUAGUGUCUCCUCUUUUAUUCCAAAAUUUUGCGCCACAAAUUCAUAAUCAGCCCGCACACUUUAAUCACGUCACUUCCUGUCCGGUGUGACGUGUACUUCCGGUUUCGGCCAGGUAUCGCGCCAUCUUAGUACACCCUGAGGGACCUCCUAGGGUGUACUAGCUUUCCAGACAGUGCUCUUCAGUCACACGGGUCCAUGAUUUCUUAACUAUUAACAAGACGGCUCGGAAGUACUCCGGCGGCCAUUUUUGAUGGGGCAAAUCAGAGUAUGUAGUUAGGGCACGGAAACAGAAGAAAAGGCAGUAUCAAUACAUACAAAAAUAUAAAGUGUGCAUAUAUAACUAUUUGAUAAACACUAUCAAUGCAUACAUAAAUACACAUGUGCAUAUAUUAUUUUACACAUACACCAAAACUAAUAAGAUUAAAAAACAGUAAGACAUAAUUGAUACUAAACAUGCAGUAAAAAAGGGUGAUAAAAAAAAGUGAAAUAAGAGAAGAAAUAAAAAACCUAUAUUAGAAAGGAGAUAUUUUCUAAAUGGCUAAAAUUGAUUGGUUUUUAAAUAUAGUUAAAAAUCUCAAAAUCUAUAUUCAUGCCAACAGGAGAUAGUGUCCUACUCAAAGAUCCACCUCCUCUCAGUUUAUUCAAGGUCUUAAUAAAAUCUCCUCCUCUCCAUGUUUUUUUCACUUUUUCAAUUCCUAUAAAAUGUAAACAUUUUGAGUCACCAUUAUGGUAUUGUUCAAAGUGGGCGGAUACUGAAUGAUUUUGUAUUAUUUUCUUAAUAUUAUGGAUAUGCUCGCCUAUUCUUAUUUUCAUCAGGAUCAGAAUUUUUUCCACAUUUCCUUAAAACUAGUAGCAUGAAAACUUUUGAGAAAGCAUGUGUUAUAGAUUUAAAACAAAUUAAACCCCCAAAUAAAUUUCAACAAAAUUUUACUGUAAAAAAAAGAAAGCAUUAGAAGAAUAGCUAUUUUACAAUCCUCUACACCAAGCAUGUCAAACUCAAAAGAUAACACGGACCAAAUAAACAAGGUUUAAGUUUAUGUGGGCUGCAAAAAAACAUAGAAACAUAGUUUUAUUUCCAAAAGUACAUUAUAAAAAAAGUACCUAACUUACACUGGAUGUCUUCAUGCUCGUAGGGCUUCAAAAUAAACAAAAGAGUGAAAUUUUAAGGAUAGGUGCAUUUGCAGAUAACCAAUUGUAUUUAUUCAUUUAUAAAAUAUUUUACCAGGAUGGAUACAUUGAGAUUUCUCUCGUUUUCAAGUAUGUCCUGGGUCCAAAAAAAAUUUCAUUGUUACUAUAUAAUACAAUAUUACAAAAAUACAAAUACAAAAAAAGGUAGUGUAUAAUCUUGGGACACCUGACGACAUUCAGGAGCAGCCAGCAGAUAGUCUGCAAAAAUGUCAAAUAAUGUAGCGCUACUCCUGGAACCAAAUGUGAGCCUGCUUCGGCAGAGGCUAAAAGGAGGUACGGACAUUCCAGCAUGCCUGUAGGGAGUGCAACAAGUCUAGUGUGAAAACCUCUGGAAAACUCAGAGACCAGAAACUCCACCAGGUGAGGUGAGGUGAAGGUUGUGAGCGUAAAUGAAAGGAAAGUGCGUCAAUGUCUACCUCCGUCAGUCAUUUCUUGGGGAAAAGCUUGAAGGCACACAUCGAUUUGGUGUGUGCCAUGAAGCAGAUCGAGCAGAUGUGCUACAACCUGCAAGCAUUGAAGUUACCUCUGAUGAAGUGAUUUAAGCAAUCACGAAAAAUUCACACUUCACUGACAAGGGCAAAAGGUGGAACACACAGCAGCUCAUGGUGGAACGCAUGCGGAGAAAUUCCAGCGGCAAACACAGUAUUCAGAUCCCCUACCAGGCCCGGACUGGCCAUCGGGCAUACCGGGCAAAUGCCCGGUGGGCCGCGAUGGCCGUGGGGCCGAGGCCGGCAGGGAGAUCCCAGGAUCUCCCCUGCCAGCCCCUGCAGGGCCAGCGCUAUCCGAGCGCCAGCCCUGCUAUGUGAAUCCAUGGGCCGGUGGGGAGAUCAAAGAUCUCCCUCACCGGCCCACAGACAGUGAGAUGCGGCCGCCGGCUGGG
rnacentral:lncRNA from 1 species